rnacentral:tmRNA from 1 species
GGGGACGCGUGGUUUCGACAGGGGGAGUAUGCUACAGGAUUGCAAGCUGAGGUGCUACUACCCUCAUAAAACAAGUAGCAAAAAAAUAACUGGCGAAUCACAACCAGUUUAUGCAGCCUAACUAAAUAGGUUGCACAUCCAACCCAACCCCACCUCAACGGGUUGGGAUUGGGUGACGAAAAGUUGAGGUGCCAUCACCCUGACGACGAUACGGGUGGUGAAAGAAUUAUCGUCUGGCCUGACUAAACUCGGUCAGCAGAGGUUGGUCAGGUAAGACAAAAGAGCUGACUAAGCUUGUAGUAUAUUCUGGGUAGCUCCUUUUGGACGGGGAGUUCGACCCUCCCCCGUCUCCACCA